rnacentral:misc_RNA from 1 species
AAGUGAGAUAAAGUAGCACAGAUUUGCCAAAACCUUUCCCUCUUCAUACUUGGCAGCGUUUCGUAUAUACAUAUGUAUAUCAAUCAACGACCGUGUUCAGAAGUUUUUUUUUUGAUUUCUUAUAGUUUGUACAGUUUAUAUUGAAAUGGUUUGUGUUAUAUAAAUUAAAAUGUUAAAGAUAUCGUACAACAUCCUGAACGCGUUCGACAAGGCGUUAGGACCAAGCAAACAAGCAGAGUCAUGCAAAUGCAAUCUUCACAUGCAUCAAUUCUCUACUUGCUUUAUUACGUACCUCAUAAUAAAGCAAGAUUUAGAAUUUAUUUGAAAGAAUCACCUUUGCAAGCCAUUUUGGAAGGAUUAACACGGAUUAAAUCUGAAGAUAGGAGAAUGGGAACGUAACUCCAAAGAUUUUGACCAUUACAUCAAGCUUUGUUCAAUGAAAACGCACAAAUAAAAGAUAGCAUGUGAUACGAAAAUUAUUUAUCAGGAAAGUAUAUUACAUUUUGUGAACAAAAACCAAGAUACGUUACAUUAGAUUAUUAGAUACAUUAUUUAUUUUAUCAGGCAAUGUUGCAGGAAAGUCUCAUUGAAAUAUUGUCAUUCUGAAAAUCUCAAAUGAUCUUGUAAAAAUUCAAAACUUUUGUAAAACAACAGAAUUAUAUAAUUGUAAUACUCUAUAAUGAAACGUUUGAACUAAACAGUAAUUUCCUUGCACAACUUCUCAUGCACAGUAAUUAGUUUGCUUGUAACUAUGUUUGUAAAGAAACCAUUUCUUGAACAACUUCGGAUAUUUCUUAAAAUACAAUGUAGUGAAAGAAUACGUCUUUAUAUUUUAAAGAUAUAUCACUAAUCUUCAUAAUUUUUUACUUG